rnacentral:rRNA from 1 species
UGAAGUAGCUGNAAUAAGUAGUGUAGCGGUGAAAUGCAUAGAUAUUACUUAGANNNCCAAUUGNGANGGCAGGUUANUAAGCAACAACUGACGCUGAUGGACGAAAGCGUGGGGAGCGAACAGGAUUAGAUANNNGGUANNNACGCCGUAAACGAUGCUAACUCGUUUUUGGAAUGUAAGUUUCAGAGACUAAGCGAAAGUGAUAAGUUAGCCACCUGGGGAGUACGAACGCAAGUUUGAAACUCAAAGGAAUUGACGGGGGCCCGCACAAGCGGUGGAUUAUGUGGUUUAAUUCGAUGAUACGCGAGGAACCUUACCAAGGCUUAAAUGGGAAAUGACAGGUUUAGAAAUAGACUUUUCUUCGGACAUUUUUCAAGGUGCUGCAUGGUUGUCGUCAGCUCGUGCCGUGAGGUGUUAGGUUAAGUCCUGCAACGAGCGCAACCCCUGUCACUAGUUGCCAUCAUUAAGUUGGGGACUCUAGUGAGACUGCCUACGCAAGUAGAGAGGAAGGUGGGGAUGACGUCAAAUCAUCACGGCCCUUACGCCUUGGGCCACACACGUAAUACAAUGGCCGGUACAGAGGGCAGCUACACUGCGAAGUGAUGCAAAUCUCGAAAGCCGGUCUCAGUUCGGAUUGGAGUCUGCAACUCGACUCUAUGAAGCUGGAAUCGCUAGUAAUCGCGCAUCAGCCAUGGCGCGGUGAAUACGUUCCCGGGCCUUGUACACACCGCCCGUCAAGCCAUGGAAGUCUGGGGUACCUGAAGUCGGUGACCGUAACAGGAGCUGCCUAGGGUAAAACAGGUAACUGGGGCUAAGUCGUAACAAGUAGCCGU